GUCUUUGAAGAAUUGUGCUGGGAUUUUGAUGGGGAUUGCAUUGAAUCAUUUGAUUGCAUUUGAUGGACAGCAUUACUACUCUUUCAUCUUGGAACCAUCAGGAAUAAUGUCCACCAUUUGAGCAUAAUGGUGAAAUGUUUGAUCUUAGGUAGCUGCUAAGAGGCUGAUGGGCAAGUAAUGUAUAUAGCAUGGAUACGCUAAUAAAGGAAGAAUUGAAUCGCAUGUACUGCCUUGUUUGAGCCGACUGGGAGGUUGCAAUUCUGGUCCUAAGUUGAAUGGCUGAAAUGUAGGCAGGUAUUGUUUAUACUGUCAAAGUCUCUGUGAGUCUAUAAGUGCAGCAGUUCCUUUGUUUCUGGAAAAUACUGUUUCCUUAGAGAUGUCCAACAUCUCUUGUUUUUUCUAAUCUUUCUAUCUUCUCUUCUACAUAAACCUUUGGCUUUUGGGGGAGAGGUUUAAUAAUGACCGAGUUUAUGCUAAAGUGUUCCAUGCUCCAUGCUCUCUCACUUCUCUGCACAUUGUCCAGUUUGGAUCUUGUGUCGAUUGCCACCUAUUGCAAGAAGAAAUUUCUCUGUUGAAGGUUGAGUGAUGCCCAAUUUAUGGGUAUAGAUACACAAGACCCAGCUAUACCACUCUAGAGAAUAUAUUCAAAGAACUCUAUCUUAUUACAGAGAUAUCUGCUCAUCUUUCCAGAUCCGCACACUUCCAUGUUCUUUCUCAGGUAG